UACGAAGGGGGCUAGCGUUGCUCGGAAUUACUGGGCGUAAAGGGAGCGUAGGCGGAUAGUUUAGUCAGAGGUGAAAGCCCAGGGCUCAACCCUGGAAUUGCCUUUGAUACUGGCUAUCUUGAGUAUGGGAGAGGUUAGCGGAACUCCGAGUGUAGAGGUGAAAUUCGUAGAUAUUCGGAAGAACACCAGUGGCGAAGGCGCUAACUGGCCCAUUACUGACGCUGAGGCUCGAAAGCGUGGGGAGCAAACAGG
rnacentral:rRNA from 1 species